UGCCUGUAAAUAAAAUGAUACUUGUGUUAUCAUGUACAUUUAACAUAGAGAGCAAAGACUAUAGAAUUGCAAAUGCUGCGAUCUGAAGUUGAGUCCAAUGCUCUCAUUUACCAUUUUUCAAAUAUGGAACAGGUCUAUGACCCUACAAGUUAGCUACAGGUUAAACUAUACCCUUGAAUGUUUACAUCAUGGGCUCCCAACUCCCUGCAAACUUAAAGGCCAAAUUUGAGUUUUUGCCUAGUUCAGACUUCUGCAGAGUUAUGGAAGUGGUAUUUCACAUGUUUUCUUUCUUCUUUUUUUUUUUUUUUUUUUUCAAUUCUGAAGGAAGAUUUUACACAGUAAGAACAGUGCCACAGCCUCAAGUAUGUACCAGCCCCAUAGUGUCUGUAACACUGCUCCCAGCUUGCACCCAGGCAACCUUCUGAUGUGCAGAUGUGCAGGCUGAAGAUGGUCAGAUCUGCAGUUGCAGUGGUUAAUCAGAAAGGUUUACCCUGCCUUGCCUGAGGGAGAGUUAUAAAGAAGAGCAGGUGACGGUAAACAGUCAAUCUUCAGUGCUUCUGAAUCAAUUGGGCACUCCCCUGCCCCAGCUCAGGGAUCACAACACCUUUGCUGGGCAUGGGAUGGGAACAUGUGACAAUGCAAUUCUCCUUCCAGGCAUGAUGAUACCGGAUCUUUCUGUGAACAACUCCCAUCACCCACAGAGAUAAAGGAAGAGCUGGUAGCACUUGAUAGUCCUGAUCUGGGGUUGGAUUUCCAAGGUUUGCGCAUUACCAAAGGAGAGAGAGAGGCAGAUGAAAAGAAGACAGGAAGGAAAGCCAGCAGGUCCAAAUCCAGCACUGAGGACCGUGGCUCCACUCACCACAACAGAGGGACAGACGAAGUAGAAGUACAACCUUUAGCCAGUCUGCAGCAAUCACUGUCAUUAAGCCAGCUGCCCACUGUGUGAGAGGUAACAGCUUUAUAGAUGCGUCUUUGUGAGGGUGAAUUUUAAAAACAAUACUCCAGCCUCACUUUCGCUUCAGGAAGGAGGCAACGUGCGUGUACACAGUCCUGGAUUUGUGCCAGCCCCACAGGACAAAAAUUAAGUUCGACACACGGUGUCAAACAGCAGAAGGGCAGAAUUUAGAAGCAAUAAUUUCCCUGAGUUAUACUGUAGCUUUUAAUGUAGUCAGUUUUGACUCUGAUUUAAGACCAGAUACUGUAUUUCUAGCAAAUGAAUUGUUGCUACUCAAGUCCACAGAGAAGCUGAAUUUUUUCUGUUACUUGUGCAAGCUAUGUUGUUAAAAGAUUUGAG